CAUAGGAUAUUAGGACAACGUAUGUAAAAGUCAAAAAGUAGAAGUUGGCUUUUAGGAUAGCAACUACUAUCUAUGAUUAUUGAAUAUUGAAAUAGAGAGAUAUCUUAUUCCAUAUUUUCUUUAAAUAUAAUCUUGUUGAUGCUAUGUAUUGUAAAUUCAAAGUUCUUUGUCUUCAAUAUUAAUAUCUUUAUAAAACAUCCAUUCAUAUCAAAUUGAACCUUAUAUUUAAAUAAUAUAAGUUUUUUUUAUUAAAAAAAGGUUCUUUUAUAUAUUUAAUAAAUAUAAGAUUUUUUUAUGGUCUUUAAUUUCUAUAUCUAAAGAAAAAAUUUCAUAAAUAAUAUCUUUAAAAGAUAUUAAAUAGCCUAAAUUACUUCAAUUUGCUUUAUAAGUUGAUAGAACUACUCAUAGUACUAUCACUAGUUAUAUACCAAUGGAAUUAAUAUUAGGAUAAAAACCUAUAAUGUCAGUUGAAGAAACUUAUCAUACAUUGAUGUUUUCAACUUUGGAAGAUGGCAUUAAUAAAAGAAGAUUAUUAGAGCUUUGAAUCCAAUAGUUGAGAAGGUUACUUGAAGACCUACAUAUUGUAGCU
rnacentral:lncRNA from 1 species